UGGAACAGGAAAGCGCAGAGAAACCAGGCUAGCCAUUGUCCUUCAGGAGGGAGCAGUGAAGGCAAAGGGGAUCACACGCUCUGUAAGUUCCUCCCACAGCCUACGAGGGAGGCAUCACCAUCUCCAUCCCACGGAUAAGGAAAUGCAACCUCUGCAGGAUUAAAUAUCCUCCUCAGGUGUAUAUGUGUUUUGCCUGCAUGAAUGUCUGUGCACCGCGUGCCUGCAAUGCCAGAAGAGGCCAGGAGAGGGCAUCAGAUCCCCUGAACCUAGAGUUACAGAUCCGUGUAAGGGCCCUGUGGGUGCUGGAAAUUCAACCUGGAUCCUCUGGAAGAGCAAGCCAUUCUUAACUAUCGAGCCAUCUUUCCAGCCCCUCUUUAGACUUCUUAAAUUCAAGUCAACAUACCAAAGCCACCAUCUGCUGUGGAUGAAGCCAGACGUUGCUAAAUUACUAAUAUUUAUAAUAAUAUCUUUGGGGGGGGGGGCAUGUGAUCUAGAAGACUCUUACACAGA